rnacentral:rRNA from 1 species
CCUGAACGCUGGCGGCGUGGUUAAGACAUGCAAGUCGCACGGACGUAGCAAUACGUUAGUGGCGCACGGGUGAGUAAUGUAUCGCUAAUGUACCCUGGACACUGGGAUAGCUGCCCGAAAGGGCAGGUAAUACCAGAUGAAGUAACUUGACCGCAUGGUCGAGUUCCCAAAGGUCCGCCGGUCUGGGUGCAGGCGAUAUCGUAUCAGCUAGUUGGUAGGGUAACGGCCACCAAGGCGACGACGCGUAGCCGGACUGAGAGGUCGGACGGCC